ACGCGUUCUGAGGCUGGGACUUGAAGACACGUCUACCAGGGGUCAAAGAACGCCUGCACAAGUUCGUCAUGGAGAGGCACCUGGGUAAUGGCGUACCACUGUGCAUCAACCCUCACUCGGCAGCUUAUAAGAGCUUCCAAAGCUCAACCGUUGCACAUGCCUCAGAGCUUCCUCCGUCGCCGAUCAACUGGACGGAAUGAUGGACGAAGGAAGCUCUCUCUCUCUCUACCCGCCACUGCGGCUCUAGGAAAUUUUAUCCCGCUCCGUCGUGCCUUUUUUUUAAAUGGACGGAGCAUUUGUCAUAACGACUGGUGCUGCUGCGAGUUUCACAACCCGCCUGCACAAACCUGUUGCUAGGGAAUUCGACUACUAGGCAAUUACUUCGGCUUGCCUGCUCGCAUGCACGCCAUCGGCCUCUCUGGCACGUGUGCGCUGUGCAGCAGACAUUGUCGUGUGUGCAGCUCCGGCAUCCACCGAGACGGCCGACCGCAUCUUGACCGCAGCCCUGAACGCAAACUUUCCACUUGAUUCGUGGCUGUGUCGCACGAUGUUAAUGCCGCUGUGCCUGCGUCUCCGCGUAGGCCGUUCGUUACUCGUUUGUCGGACAAUGACGUCGACUGUGUGUGGUGUGCGACACUCGUGCACGCGAGCGGCGGCAUCGUGUGCGAAUCUGCCGGGUCUGUGUUGCAAUGGUGCCGGCAUCUAACCUCCAAGUGCGAGCCGGGGAAGGAACGCCUGUAGAACGUGUGACAAUGACAGGAGCACACAGGGUUGGCAGCUGUAUUCGUGGCAUACGAACCAUACCACGCUCGAUGUCCGUACAGUUACGCAGACCACAGUCAGCAGGAGUCGUGCCUUGGUAGGAUUGGUGUAAAAAAAAUACUCGCUGGGACACUGCGAACAUUAACUGCCUAGCAUUAGAUGAUGAGUCAUAGAUGAUGAGUCAUAGAUGAUGAGUCAUAGAUGAUGACGAGAGAGUGACGUUGGAUUCUAUGGCAGUAAGGAUGCGUGGCAGUGCUAUGCACAGUGAUAGCACGCACGGUGAUGAAUCACUAGAGUAGCCACUCGGAGUUAGACCGUGGUGCCGAGAAUUGUUACACCCUACGCACCACACAGUGCUAUGCAGAGUGACGCCAGACAUCGUGAUACAAUGCAUGGUGACAUGCCAUGAUGGCCUGGAUGGUUACAUCUUACGCAGUAGUGCUACGCACAGUGACGAUGAAGCUCAAGCAUUACUACGGGAACAUCAAGCACAUCCACCGUGUUAACGCGUUUUAUCUAGGCUGGUCCUAUCCAAACCGAAGACAGAAAGCGAGGGCAAAAGCUAUGAUAGCAUGCGUAGUCAGCAAUAUUGCUGUGGAGGGAUCAGGUGCGAUCUGAUGUGUUUGCCUUAGAGCAGGUUGCAUGGUUGCCUCACAAAAAAAAAAUCAUGCAGCUUCCUUUUAAUCCCUGAAGCACCAACGAACUUCCUCCCCCCCACACACACACACACGAGCGCAGUGUCACGUUUCCAUUGCAGGCGAAGGUAGGGAGGGGUGCUUGGUUGUAUUUGAGCGCGGUUCAAGGUUGCGUCAAGGGUAAUCGCUGAUAAAGACAGUGAAACGCACGACUGUAACACUGCAACUUGUGAUGUUUUCUACGCUGUGCAAGUCGUCCGUCAGGCAAGGGCAGACGUAUCAAAGAAGUGCAACUCAUUUAAUUCUUGGGAGUGCUCUGGUCAGUAUAAAGGUGCAAGGGUGUGACUCGUGCCACACGGCGCCAUGGCAAAGUAUGGGCGACGUUGUCACGACUAAUCAGCGAAAGCCGCGGUCUCGAUACACGUCACCAAUAGCAGAUUGCUGUGACGUAAUGUCGCCAUCUGAUGGGUGGUGUGGAAGUUUUAGGGUUGUUUUUGCAGUCAUGAUACCGCCUUUGUAGAUCUAGCCACGGGAAAUCGUUCGUAACCUCACCCUCGGUUUAGUUUUUGAAAUAGAACUGACGAUCGAUAUGUAGUGAUUUGCAGGGUCGGUCGGGACAAAGUUUUGGGUCAGGCUUAUGCUCGGUUGAAGUGUGGGGACACCAGAGGGUUCUCUCUCUUUGCCUGCAUGUGUGAUUGAAACCACGGUGAGCAAUCUAGGCGAGGCCACCAAAGGGAGUAAAAUUGGGACCACGGAGUAAACUUGAUCAAUUUAAGGGGAUCGCAAGUCGAGCCGCCUAGCGUCGAGCUGCCUAGCGUCGAAGCUACGUUUAAUUUAAUCGUUGCAAUCGCAAUGACUUGUAACAACGAUUGGUGUCCAAUGACAAAUCAAGUUUUCAUGAUUGGCCAGCAGGUGGCGCAAGCGGUGUCGCAUUUUAUAGUCUGGGUGGUAGACAAGGAUGGAAUCAGGGGGGGGGGGAAGUAUAUGGUCACCUACAAUCAUGUAAUUGUGAUUGCUAGAGAAAGGAGCUCUCUAUCACAGGGUGAACGGUUGUACAAUGUGGACCAUCUGGAAGGUUGCGUUCGACGUAUGUGUACGUACACUCCAAUAUUAAUUAUGUCACUUACGUCCCUCUUUUUUGUAUGUUUUACCAAAGCUUUUUGAUUGUAAAUUUCAGCUGGAUCUCAAUGUUUAUCGUGUUUAUAAUAUAUACUGUAUUGUUUUAGAUUACCACGUGUUAUCGGGGUUGCUAAAAGUGUUUUUUUGGGCCCUCUAUUAGCUGUAUGACAACAGUAGUUUAGUAAAAGGAUGUCCAGAAAAUGGUAAUGGUCGUACAUGGGCAAGGGUUUCACUUAAUUGUAACAGAGAUUUUAGUUCGUUUUUAAAUUUGUUCUCGAGGAACAGUUACGAACUGACCGAGAUCCAGGGAAAAAUCUUACAGUGCAUUUAUCUGUAGCUUUUCUACUAAUAUGCAUUUUUUAAAUGCCAAUACCUUUCACUAAGUGUGCUAUUGCAUCUAGGUGAUAGUGCCACCGAGCUUUGUGUCGUAGCGAGCUAUCAUUGGUGUCCUCAUCUCACAGUGUUGUCCGUAUGUAUCGUCUCAUUCCAAGUGAUAUUAACACGGUUGUAGUUAACCACUGUUCGGUAUAUACCGGUCACAUCGUGGCCAUACUACGGAUACAUCCACCUCUAUGGCAAUGCUUGCAUAGCAGCCUAGUGUACCAGUUAGCAGGCAAACUACCUGUGAGUGUGAGGCAUACUACAUCACCGUGAUAGUCUCAGGCAACCUAUCUGCCAUGGAUAGGCAGGCAAAUUACCUGCUGUUUUAUAAUCAGGCAAUCUGUCUGUUGAUGGCAUUCAGGCUAACUGCUUAUCACUGGCUUCAGUCACUAUGCUAACUGUAUAUAUAAUAUAUGCGCUCGUGAGAAAAUAGAGUGAUGUGCCCAGUCGUGCUGUGUGCGUAGUAGUUGUAGUUCUAUGUCGGGAAAUGUGCUUUUAUAGGUUUUAGACGUGUCGCGUGCGAGCAAGGUGUGCGUGGGUCAGUUGUGCUCACCUCUGUUAAAAUUCCCGAUUCUGACUAGGGAUUUUUAAACUUUGUUAUGCUCGCCAUCAGAAGUGACAGCAACGUGAGUUAUUCAACAGAAAUAACAUUGCAGUAAGUUUCCAAGGUUAAGACACACGUUAGGAAACAUGACACGUAAUCGAGCCAUCUGAUAUUGCAGGAAUUCGGACCAGAAAAAUGUUGAAAUGAACACGACUAACAAUUGUUUGGUAGCUUCUGUUUUGUACAUAGCAGAUACGAUAAUGAUGGCGGAAAGUACUUUCCACGGGAGUUUUUUGAAGCACGUUUUUGCACGUUGAGUCACGUAUUCUCCCCGCUAAGUGAUCGUGCGAUGACACCCCGGGAACCGUGCAGCAUCUUCCUUCCUGCAGUUUAUAAAAAAGAUGCUUUCCUCAGCUUCCCGUAGUUGCAAUUACCGAGUUAUUACGAUGUAGUGCCCCCCUUUCUCUCUAAAGCGCUCCGGUACUGUUUUGCAUCGCAGUGGUUGUCGUUGUCGUCGUUGUUGUUGUUUGGUUGUGUAUGUAUUUAUAGUAAAUGGUGAUUCUAUACAGUUUAUUGCACCGAAGUGGUUUUUACCGACUUGUAAAUGAUUCGAGAAUGAUUGAAUAAAUAUUUGUAUACACAAUUUCAA
rnacentral:lncRNA from 1 species